rnacentral:rRNA from 1 species
AUUGAACGCUGGCGGCAUGCUUUACACAUGCAAGUCGAACGGUAACAGGCCGCAAGGUGCGGACGAGUGGCGAACGGGUGAGUAAUUCAUCGGAACGUGCCCAGUCGUGGAGGAUAAGUACUCGAAAGAGAAGCUAAUACCGCAUACGAUCUAUGGAUGAGAGCGGGGGACCAGAAGGCCUCGCGCGAUUGGAGCGGGCGAGGUCAGAUUAGUUAGUGUGUGGGGUAAAGGCUCACCAAGCCAACGAUCUGGACCCGGUCUGUGAGGACGAGCAGCGACCCUGGGACUGGGCCACGGCCCAGACUCCUACGGGAGGCAGCAGUGGGGAAUUUUGGACAGUGGGCGGAAGCCUGGUCCAGCAAUGCCGCGUGCAGGAAGAAGGCCUUCGGGUUGUAAACUGCUUUUGUAGGGAACGAAACGGCUCUGGUUAUUACCCGGGGUUAAUGACGGUACCGGAUGAAUAAGCACCGGCUAACUACGUG